rnacentral:rRNA from 1 species
GACGAACGCUGGCGGCGUGCUUAACACAUGCAAGUCGAACGGAAAGGUCCUGCUUGCAGGGUCCUCGAUUGGCGAACGGUUGAGUAACACGUUUGUGAUCUGCCCUGCACUUCGGGAUAAGCCUUGGUAACUGGUUCUAAUACCGGAUAGGAGCCUUUUUUCGUUUGAUUGUUGGAAAGUUUUUUCGGUGUAGGAUGAGCUUGCGGCCUAUCAGCUUGUUGGUGGGGUAAUGGCCUACCAAGGCUGCGACGCGGAGCCGGCCUGAGAGGGUGGACGGCCACAGUGAGACUGAGAUACGGACCAGACUCAGACGGGAGGGAGAAGUGGGGAAGAGUGAAAAAUGGGAGCAAGCGUGAUGCAGCGACGCCGCGUGGGGGAUGACGACCUUGGGGUUGUAGACUCAAUUCGCUAGGGACGAAGAUUUUUGUGACAGUACCGAGAUAAGAAGCACCGGCUAACUACGUG